rnacentral:rRNA from 1 species
UACGUAGGGGCCUAGCGUUGUCCGGAUUUAUUGGGCGUAAAGAGCUCGUAGGCGGUUUGGUUAGUCAGGUGGGAAAUCUCCACGCUCAACAUGGAGGGGCCACCUGAUACUGCCAUGACUUGAGUCCGGUAGGGGAGUGUGGAAUUCCCGGUGUAGCGGUGAAAUGCGCAGAUAUCGGGAGGAACACCAAUGGCGAAGGCAGCUCGCUGGGACGGUACUGACGCUGAGACGCGAAAGCAUGGGUAGCGAACAGG